rnacentral:rRNA from 1 species
UACGAAGGGGGCGAGCGUUGUUCGGAAUUACUGGGCGUAAAGGGCGCGCAGGCGGCUCUGGAAGUCAGAUGUGAAAGCCCCCGGGCUUAACCUGGGAACUGCAUUUGAUACUCUGGAGCUUGAGUACGGGAGAGGAGAGUGGAAUUCCCGGUGUAGCGGUGAAAUGCGCAGAUAUCGGGAAGAACACCCGUGGCGAAGGCGGCUCUCUGGAACGCAACUGGACGCUGAGACGCGAAAAGCGGUGGGGAGCAAACAGG